rnacentral:rRNA from 1 species
GACGAACGCUGGCGGCGUGCCUAAUACAUGCAAGUCGAGCGGACGGAUGGGAGCUUGCUCCCAGCCCGUCAGCGGCGGACGGGUGAGUAACACGUGGGCAACCUGCCUGUAAGACUGGGAUAACUCCGGGAAACCGGGGCUAAUACCGGAUAACUCUUUCCCUCACAUGAGGGAAAGCUGAAAGAUGGCAUCUCGCUAUCACUUACAGAUGGGCCCGCGGCGCAUUAGCUAGUUGGUGAGGUAACGGCUCACCAAGGCGACGAUGCGUAGCCGACCUGAGAGGGUGAUCGGCCACACUGGGACUGAGACACGGCCCAGACUCCUACGGGAGGCAGCAGUAGGGAACCUUCCGCAAUGGACGAAAGUCUGACGGAGCAACGCCGCGUGAGUGAUGAAGGUUUUCGGAUCGUAAAACUCUGUUGUCAGGGAAGAACAAGUACCGGAGUAACUGCCGGUACCUUGACGGUACCUGACCAGAAAGCCACGGCUAACUACGUG